UACGGAAGGGGCGAGCGUUGUUCGGAAUCAUUGGGCGUAAAGGGCGCGUAGGUGGUUCUGUAUGUCUACCGUGAAAGCGUACGGCUCAACCGUAUUUUGUCGGUAGAAACUGCAGGACUUGAGGCUGGGAGGGGCUGGUGGAAUUCACUGUGUAGCGGUGAAAUGCGUAGAUAUCAGGAGGAAUACCGGUGGCGAAAGCGACUCUCUGGACGGCAACUGACGCUGAGGCACGAAGGCGUGGGGAGCAAACAGG
rnacentral:rRNA from 1 species